CCUACGGGAGGCAGCAGUGAGGAAUAUUGGUCAAUGGACGAGAGUCUGAACCAGCCAAGUAGCGUGAAGGAUGACUGCCCUAUGGGUUGUAAACUUCUUUUAUAUGGGAAUAACAUGUUCCACGUGUGGGAUUUUGUAUGUACCAUAUGAAUAAGGAUCGGCGAACUCCGUGCAAGCAGCCGCGUGCAUACGGAGGAUCCGAGCGUUAUCCGGCUUGAUUGGGUUUAAAGGGAGCGUAGGUUGAUUGUUAAGUCAGUUGUGAAAGUUUGCGGCUCAACCGUAAAAUUGCAGUUGAAACUGGCAGUCUUGAGUACAGUAGCGGUGGGCGGAAUUCGUGGUGUAGCGGUGAAAUGCUUAGAUAUCACGAAGAACUCCGAUUGCGAAGGCAGCUCACUGGACUGCAACUGACACUGAGGCUCGAAAGUGUGGGUAUCAAACAGGAUUAGAUACCCGGGUAGUC
rnacentral:rRNA from 1 species